UACGUAGGGGGCAAGCGUUGUCCGGAAUCAUUGGGCGUAAAGAGCGUGUAGGCGGCCCGAUAAGUCCGCCGUGAAAGUCCAGGGCUCAACCCCUGGAAUGCCGGUGGAAACUGUCGGGCUGGAGUCCGGAAGAGGCGAGUGGAAUUCCUGGUGUAGCGGUGAAAUGCGCAGAUAUCAGGAGGAACACCAAUGGCGAAGGCAGCUCGCUGGAACGGUACUGACGCUGAGGCGCGAAAGCGUGGGGAGCGAACAGG
rnacentral:rRNA from 1 species